rnacentral:lncRNA from 1 species
AGAGCCUCCUAGGAUGGCCACGCCGAAGGUGCGGAAGGAGGCGGCUGGCCCAGCGUCAGACGUUUCCAGCAUCCGCGGGAGUGAAACGGAGGCUGGUGGGCCUCAUUCAAUCAGUUGAAUUCUUCAAGAGAGAAAAACUGAAGUCCCUUAGAAGGAAAGAGUUCUGCCUUCAGACUGUCUUUGAACUUAAGACUGUAGCGUCGACUCCUGCCGGAAUUUCCAGCCUGCUGGCCAGCUCUGCAGAUUCACACUUGCCAGCCUCCACAAUCGCAGCUGAGGCGGAGGAACCCUAAGGGCUCAUUGAGAUCAUGGAUUUGCCCUUCUAUGCAUUGAUGGAGCACCUGCUGCCCACAGCGUCUGUAUUUGGUGCUGGGAUGCUGAGCCUCCUUCUUUAUGAAUUUUUAAAAGGACACUGAGAUCUUCAAACAGAGGCUGCCACUCUAAGCAAACAGAUCCCGAGCCCUGGACUCUGAAGCUUGGGCCCAGUUCUCCUUUUCUCCGGGUUUCAGAUCCCACUGUGAAGUGAGGGGGCCCUUCUGAUUCAGGACCCGGGGAAGCCAGGGGCAUGAGCAUCGGUGCCUCUUCUCUAUUUCAAGGACCCUUCUGGGUGUAAAGUUCUCUGAGAUGCCUUACAUGGAUUCCCACCACUGCAAGAUAACCAUCGUAUGUAAAGUGUUAUGACCAGCAGAGCGUAAUUGAAGUGCAUUCCAGAGGGAAAGACAGCGGCUCAGUGAAGGAAAGACCCUGGCUUUCCUCCCCAGCUCCAAGUGGGCUGUUCUGAUUGCUUCCGGGUCCUGUCCUCAUGGGGAGCAGCACCACGGGAGACUCUGCCUCUGCUGAGUUUUCUAACAUUAGUGUCGGGAAACAAGAAUCUGCCACUGAUGCUCCUUUUGUAAAGGUAUAAACAUGUAUAUAAAGGAACACCCCAGCACACC